AACGCACAUUGCGCCCGCCAGUAUUCUGGCGGGCAUGCCUGUUCGAGCGUCAUUUCAACCCUCAAGCCCCCUGUGGACUUGGUGUUGGGGACCGGCGACAACCUUCUGUCGCCGCCCCCUAAAUGAAUUGGCGGCCCCGUCGCGGCCCUCCUCUGCGUAGUAGCACACACCUCGCAACAGGAGCCCGUCGGUGGCCACUGCCGUAAAACACCCCAAACUUUUUUAGAGUUGACCUCGAAUCAGGUAGGAAUACCCGCUGAACUUAA
rnacentral:misc_RNA from 1 species